UACAGAGGUCCCAAGCGUUGUUCGGAUUCACUGGGCGUAAAGGGUGCGUAGGCGGUCGGGUAAGUCUGAUGUGAAAUCUCACAGCUUAACUGUGAAACUGCAUUGGAUACUAUCCGGCUCGAGGAAUGGAGGGGAGACUGGAAUACUUGGUGUAGCAGUGAAAUGCGUAGAUAUCAAGUGGAACACCAGUGGCGAAGGCGAGUCCCUGGACAUUACCUGACGCUGAGGCACGUAAGCCAGGGGAGCAAACGGG
rnacentral:rRNA from 1 species